GUGGCUCUGGUUGCCAUCACUGUCAUAGGAUUGAGAGCGUGGGCCAUGGUCAUAACUGUUACUGGGCCGAGAGUGUGAGCUAUGGCUUUCGUGGCCAUAACUGUUACCAGACUGAGAGUAUGAGUUAUGACUUUGGUGGUCAUAACUGCUGAUGAGAAGCUCCUCUCUGUAUCGAGGAGGACUAGUCGAGGUUUCAGACUGGGAACUUGUAUCCUCGUAUGUAUCUUCUUUAGCAUAGCGAGGUUUUUUCCGGCUGG
rnacentral:lncRNA from 1 species